rnacentral:miRNA from 14 species
GAGCUGGGCUGAGCUGGGCUGAACUGGGGUGAGCUGGGGUGGGGUGAGCUGGGUGAGCUGAGCUGGGCUGAGCUGGGCUGAG